UUCCGAUUUCUCUGGAGUUGUUCUGCAAAAAUGUGGAUUACUGUCAGCCCCUUUUAGGACAAACCGCGGUCACCUCUUUCCCGAAAAAUGUUCAUCCCGUUAGGAAUCUCCGAGGUGGAAACAGUAUGUUGCCAAAUAAAGGUUGAUUAUCAAGGUUUAAAGCGCCGAUUGCGAUGACGAUAACCUUCGGGCCUUGUUGGAUUUUAGAUUGGUGCCACCAAUUUAUUUCUUUUAGGUAUUGUUCAUACAGUAGGCCCAUGUUUGUGCGGGCCAGCAGAGGGAGCGUCUUGAAUUCAAAGAACUGAACGAUGUGAGAGCACGUGGACCACCGGGGCUUCUUGUUGGCGUGGCUGCUUUAGAGCGCCUCGUUGUCGGCGUGUGGAAAAGCCCCACGAUGACGCGGUGGGAUAUAUUCCAGCUAGCAAAAGUGUAAGAAAGUUGCUCGACAGUGGAGACAAUGACUUUUAAUUUUUUUAUUUUGUAUUUCCUUUUAUAUGCCAUUUUAUUUUUGCCAUCAUUCAAAGGUGGCAGGUUUUUAAACAAUACUCUUCUCUGUCCGUUUAAGCAUGCAGGAUGAAACCGCUAUCAAAAAAAAAAAAUAAAUAAAAAAGUUUCAUCGCAUGACUUCUCCAGAUUUUCUCUUUAAUUCUCCCUCCGAAAUGUGGAUUAAUGUCAGCUCCUUUUAGGACAAAAUGCUGUCAUCUCCCCAAAGCCUCCGAAAUGUUCAUCCCGUUAGGAAUCCUCAUCAUUUCCAAUCCGUCAUAAUUACGAGUAGAGCGUCGGAGGCUGUGCUCGCUGGAGCCACUGCGCCUCCUGCUGGAGAAGCUCUGCAUGUGUUUAACAUUCUGGAUCCCGUGUUGCCAUGGCAAAGGAGGGGGGGGGGGGGAAAAGCAACAACAAAAAAAUCUACGAAGAAAUAAUAAUAAUAAUAAUAAAUCACUUUCCAAUUAUGUAAAUAUGUAAAUAAUUCUAUAUGUGUCUUUCAUGAAACUCACUAUAAAUGACGGAACUAUAUAAAAAAAUUCAUGCAAAUUGAAUUGUUAUCAAAAUAAUUAAAGAUCAUGAAACAGGUUAUUAUUCAAUAAUGUUCAAGAUAAUUAUGAAAUGUUAUUAUUAGCUACGCUUUAUUUAAUUAGAUUCAAUAAAAUAAAAAAUACAUGAAAAUAUUCAAUGAAUUGUUUUAAGUUUUGAUCAUAUUUUUAAUUGUUUUUAUAGGAACAAAAAGGAUGCUGAAAUGUUCACAAUUUUUUUUCCGAAAUGCCGAUUCUAUUCCUGAUGAUAAAAGUUUUUGUCCCCCAAUGGCAAGCGUCCAUUUGGAGCUCCUCCUUCUUUGGCGAGCUCGCCGGCAUUUUUAAGAGUUUUUAACGUGCAUCGAACGAGCUCUCGAGCGAGCGCACUUGGAAGACGGCGUUAGAAGGACACGAUAUUUACGACUAUGAUAUUUUGAGGGGCGCUCAGACGAAAUGUCACCAAAUAAAAAAAAUAAAAUAAAAAUAAAAAAGUGUCUAAAAAGCCUUUUUA